rnacentral:rRNA from 1 species
AGCCUUCUGAAAGGAAGAUUAAUACAAGAUGGCAUCAUGAGUUCACAUGUUCACAUGAUUAAAGGUAUUCCGGUAGACGAUGGGGAUGCGUUCCAUUAGAUAGUAGGCGGGGUAACGGCCCACCUAGUCUUCGAUGGAUAGGGGUUCUGAGAGGAAGGUCCCCCACAUUGGAACUGAGACACGGUCCAAACUCCUACGGGAGGCAGCAGUGAGGAAUAUUGGUCAAUGGGCGUAAGCCUGAACCAGCCAAGUCGCGUGAGGGAUGAAGGUUCUAUGGAUCGUAAACCUCUUUUAUAAGGGAAUAAAGUGCGGGACGUGUCCCGUUUUGUAUGUACCUUAUGAAUAAGGAUCGGCUAACUCCGUGCCAGCAGCCGCGGUAAUACGGAGGAUCCGAGCGUUAUCCGGAUUUAUUGGGUUUAAAGGGUGCGUAGGCGGCCUUUUAAGUCAGCGGUGAAAGUCUGUGGCUCAACCAUAGAAUUGCCGUUGAAACUGGGGGGCUUGAGUAUGUUUGAGGCAGGCGGAAUGCGUGGUGUAGCGGUGAAAUGCUUAGAUAUCACGCAGAACCCCGAUCGCGAAGGCAGCCUGCCAAGCCAUGACUGACGCUGAUGCACGAAAGCGUGGGGA